AUGAACGCUGGCGGCGUGCCUAAUACAUGCAAGUCGAGCGAACAGACGAGGAGCUUGCUCCUCUGACGUUAGCGGCGGACGGGUGAGUAACACGUGGAUAACCUACCUAUAAGACUGGGAUAACUUCGGGAAACUGGAGCUAAUACCGGAUAAUAUAUUGAACCGCAUGGUUCAAUAGUGAAAGACGGUUUUGCUGUCACUUAUAGAUGGAUCCGCGCCGCAUUAGCUAGUUGGUAAGGUAACGGCUUACCAAGGCAACGAUGCGUAGCCGACCUGAGAGGGUGAUCGGCCACACUGGAACUGAGACACGGUCCAGACUCCUACGGGAGGCAGCAGUAGGGAAUCUUCCGCAAUGGGCGAAAGCCUGACGGAGCAACGCCGCGUGAGUGAUGAAGGUCUUCGGAUCGUAAAACUCUGUUAUUAGGGAAGAACAAAUGUGUAAGUAGCUAUGCACGUCUUGACGGUACCUAAUCAGAAAGCCACGGCUAACUACGUG
rnacentral:rRNA from 1 species